rnacentral:rRNA from 1 species
CGCUGGCGAGAUGCUUACACAUGCAAGUCGUACGAGAGUUUGAAACUCAAGUGGCGGACGGGUGAGUAACACGUAAGAAUUUGCCUUUANGAGGGGGACAACAAUUGGAAACGAUUGCUAAUACCCCAUAUGCUUUCGAGUAAAAUGGAUUUUUCCGCCUAAAGAGAAGCUUGCGGCUGAUUAGCUUGUUGGUGAGGUAAUGGCUCACCAAGGCGACGAUCAGUAUCUGGUUUGAGAGGACGAUCAGACACACUGGAACUGAGACACGGUCCAGACUCCUACGGGAGGCAGCAGUGGGGAAUUUUCCGCAAUGGGCGAAAGCCUGACGGAGCAAUCUCGCGUGAGGGAUGACUGCCUAUGGGUUGUAAACCUCUUUUUUCAGGGAGGAAUAAAUGACGUGUACCUGAAGAAUAAGCAUCGGCUAACUCCGUGCCAGCAGCCGCGGUAAGACGGAGGAUGCAAGUGUUAUCCGGAAUCACUGGGCGUAAAGCGUCUGUAGGUGGUUUAAUAAGUCAACUGUUAAAUCUUGAAGCUCAACUUCAAAACCGCAGUCGAAACUAUUAGACUAGAGUAUAGUAGGGGUAAAGGGAAUUUCCAGUGGAGCGGUGAAAUGCGUAGAGAUUGGAAAGAACACCGAUGGCGAAGGCCUUUACUGGGCUAUUACUGACACUCAGAGACGAAAGCUAGGGUAGCAAUGGG